rnacentral:sRNA from 1 species
UUUGUGUGCCCAAUACGCAAUCUGGUGA